AGGGCGCAGGGCGAAUGCCUUGGCACUGGGAGCCGAUGAAAGACGUGAUAAGCUGCGAUAAGCUUCGGGGAGCUGCAAAUAAGCAUUGAUCCGGAGAUUUCUGAAUGAGGAAACUCACCUGGGUUCAUACUCAGGUACGUUAUACUGAACUUAAAAAUAGGUAUAUCGAGGGAACCGCCUGAACUGAAACAUCUAAGUAGGGCGAGGAAGAGACAUCAAACGAGAUUCCGUAAGUAGUGGCGAGCGAACGCGGAAGAGGGCAAACCGGAAGUAGAAAUACUUCCGGGGUACGGACUGCUUUUAGGACUUAAUCUGUUAACCGAACGGCAUGGGAAGGCCGGUCAGAGAGUGUGAGAACCACGUAGGUGAAAACGGAGAGAGCUGCGCAGGAUCCAGAGUACGGCCAGACACGUGAAACCUGGUCGGAAUACGGGGGGACCACCCUCCAACCCUAAAUACUACCCAGUGACCGAUAGCGUAUAGUACUGUGAAGGAAAGGUGAAAAGCACCCCGGGAGGGGAGUGAAAAAGAACCUGAAACCCUGUGCCUACAAGCACCUAGAGCACGUCAAUGUGUGAUAGGGUACUUUUUGUAGAACGGUCCGGCGAGCGAUUGUAUGCAGCAAGGUUAAGGACUUAAGGUCUGGAGCCGAAGCGAAAGCGAGUUUGAAAAGGGCGUUAAGUUGCAUAUAAUGGGCCCGAAACCGGGUGACCUACCCAUGGUCAGGUUGAAGUGGAAGUAAAAUUCCAUGGAGGACCGAACCGACCUCCGUUGAAAAGGCGGCGGAUGAACUGUGGGUAGCGGAGAAAUUCCAAUCGAACCCGGAGAUAGCUGGUUCUCCCCGAAAUAGUUUUAGGACUAGCCUCAAGUUAGAUACCUGGAGGUAAAGCACUGAAUAGCCUAGCGGCCGAGAGGUUAGCGAAGCUUAUCAAACUCAGAAUGCCAGAGUAUUGAUGCUUGGGAGUCAGACAGUGUCAGAUAAAUGUCAUUGUCAAAAGGGAAACAGCCCAGAUCUACAGCUAAGGUCCCAAAGUCAGGUUAAGUGGAAAACGAUGUGAAGAUACGUAGACAACCAGGAUGUUGGCUCAGAAGCAGCCACACAUUCAAAGAGUGCGUAAUAGCUCACUGGUCGAGCGUCUUUGCGCGGAGAAUUUAACGGGGCUAAACCUGACACCGAAGCUUAGGCAAUACAGUAAUGUAUUGGGUAGGGGAGCGUUGUAUACGCGGUGAAACAGUAGCGCAAGCGGCUGUGGAGUGUAUAGAAGUGAGAAUGCCGGAAUGAGUAGCGCGAAUGCAGUGAGAAUCUGCAUGGCCGAAAGCCUCAGGUUUCUGGAGGAAGGUUCGUCCGCUCCAGGUUAGUCGGGAGCUAAGGUGAGGCCUAACGGCGUAGCCGAUGCACAGACGGUAGAGAUUCCGUCACCACCAAAAGAGUUAAACACAGGGACACAUUUGAAGUCUCGGAGCCGGGUGUUGGUUCCGGUAGCGAUCGAGGGAAAUUAGUACCGAAGUCCGGGAUGGAAGAUGGCGAGAAAAGCUGUGUGUAUUUCUGCGGUGCCCGUACCGCAAACCGACACAGGUAGGUAGGAAGAAGAUUCUAAGGCCAACGGGAGAAGGGUUGUUAAGGAACUCGGCAAAUUGACCCCGUAACUUCGGGAGAAGGGGUGCUCUAGAGAUAGAGCCGCAGAGAAUCGGCCCAAGCAACUGUUUACCAAAAACACAGGUUUGUGCUAAAUCGAAAGAUGACGUAUACGAGCUGACGCCUGCCCGGUGCUGGAAGGUUAAGAGGAGAUGUGCAAGCAUUGAAUCGAAGCCCCAGUGAACGGCGGCCGUAACUAUAACGGUCCUAAGGUAGCGAAAUUCCUUGUCAGGUAAGUUCUGACCCGCAUGAAAGGCGUAAUGAUUUGGGCACUGUCUCGACAGCCCGCCCGGCGAAAUUGUAGUACCGGUGAAGAUGCCGGUUACCCGCGACAAGACGGAAAGACCCCAUGGAGCUUUACUGUAGCCUAAUAUUGGGUUUCGAUGUUGCAUGCACAGGAUAGAUGGGAACAACGGGAGGAGUAUUGAACAUUGAACCGCCGUCGAUGUGAGUCUGAUAGUUCAGCAUGGUCGGGAUAUAGCGGGAUACCUUACCCAGCGCGUCAUUCUUCACGAUGACGAAUGUAACACCGGCAGGAGCCAGAUUUUUCUGCGCACCACCAUAGAUACAGAUAUAUUUGGAAACGUCGAUCGGACGAGAGAAAAUAUCAGAAGACAUAUCGGCCACCAUCGGAACGUUUACGUCCAAAUCCUCUUUCAGUUCCGUACCGUAGAUUGUAUUGUUGGUAGUGAUGUGGAAAUAGUCUGCAUCAGCAGGCACUGUAUAGUCCUUCGGAAUAUAAGUAUAAGUAGAUUCAGCGGUAGAAGCGACUUCAACUACUUCACCGAAUGCCUUAGCCAUCUUCUUUUCACUUUCUUUGGUUGUAAGGAAUCCCUUAACAUUGGUAAGUGAAAGUACAGGAAUCUCAAAUGCGUCACAGAAAUUAAUCAUCUCUGCCGCUUUUUCGCAGCCUUCCGCAGUAAGAACCUCAUCAAACUUUUCUACUGAUUCGCCAUUGUCAAAAAGCUCUGUUCUGUUAGCCACAACACCGAUUGUAGCACCAUUAAGCUUUAUAAA
rnacentral:rRNA from 1 species